ensembl:snoRNA SNORA70 Small nucleolar RNA SNORA70
CUGCAACCAAUUAAGCUGACCAUGCCACCCUCCCCAUGGCACCCGGUGUGCAGUGGCUGCAAACAGCAGCCUCCUGGGUAGUAUAUGCAGCCUGUUGCUUGUAUAGGCUGCCCUAAGGGACCCUGGAGACAGCC